ACCAAGUGGAAAGGCAUGUCGGUGGUUUCCUGUCUUUGGACACAUAAGAAUUGGAGGCAAAGAGAUGUGACCUUGGAGAAGUCUGAAACCUGCUUGCUUCCUGCAGGCUUAAGAUCAUCCUUUCCCACACAG
rnacentral:snoRNA from 1 species